AUACUCUGGUUUCUCUUCAGAUCGUAUAAAUCUUUCGCCUUUUACUAAAGAUUUCUGUGGAGAGGAACAUUUAUGGGUUUUCAACUAAUUUUUUGAGGCCUUGCUUCGGCAGAAAA